rnacentral:rRNA from 1 species
AUGAACGCUGGCGGCUGGCCUAACACAUGCAAGUCGAGCGGCAGCGCGGGGCAACCCUGGCGGCAGCGGCGGACGGGUGAGGAAUGCAUCGGAAUCUGCCCUGGUGUGGGGGAUAACGUAGGGAAACUUACGCUAAUACCGCAUACUCCCUACGGGGGAAAGCGGGGGACCUUCGGGCCUCGCGCAGCAAGAUGAGCCGAUCCGGAUUAGCUAGUUGGUGGGGUAAAGGCCUACCAAGGCGACGAUCCGUUAGCUGGUCUGAGAGGAUGAUCAGCCACACUGGGACUGAGACACGGCCCAGACUCCUACGGGAGGCAGCAGUGGGGAAUAUUGGACAAUGGGGGCAACCCUGAUCCAGCCAUGCCGCGUGAGUGAAGAAGGCCUUAGGGUUGUAAAGCACUUUCAGUAGGGUGAUGAAAAUUUAGUCUUUAAUAACGGCUAGCCGUGACGUUACCUACAGAAGAAGCACCGGCAAACUCCGUGCCAGCAGCCGCGGUAAUACGGAGGGUGCGAGCGUUAAUCGGAAUUACUGGGCGUAAAGCGCGCGUAGGCGGCCUGAUAAGUUGGAUGUGAAAGCCCUGGGCUCAACCUAGGAACUGCAUUCAAAACUGUCAGGCUAGAGUAUGGUAGAGGAUAGUGGAAUUUCCGGUGUAGCGGUGAAAUGCGUAGAGAUCGGAAGGAACAUCAGUGGCGAAGGCGGCUAUCUGGACCAAUACUGACGCUGAGUGCGAAAGCGUGGGGAGCAAACAGGAUUAGAUACCCUGGUAGUCCACGCCGUAAACGAUGUCAACUAGCCGUUGGGGGGCUUGUCCCCUUUAGUGGCGCAGCUAACGCGAUAAGUUGACCGCCUGGGGAGUACGGCCGCAAGGUUAAAACUCAAAUGAAUUGACGGGGGCCCGCACAAGCGGUGGAGCAUGUGGCUUAAUUCGAUGCAACGCGAAGAACCUUACCAGCCCUUGACAUCCUGUGAACUUUCUAGAAAUAGAUUGGUGCCUUCGGGAACACAGUGACAGGUGCUGCAUGGCUCGUCAGCUCGUGUCGUGAGAUGUUGUGUUAAGUCCCGCAACGAGCGCAACCCCUGUCCUUAGUUGCCAGCACGUAAUGGUGGGAACUCUAAGGAGACUGCCGGUGACAAACCGGAGGAAGGUGGGGAUGACGUCAAGUCAUCAUGGCCCUUAUGGGCUGGGCUACACACGUGCUACAAUGGGCAGUACAGAGGUCGCAACCCCGCGAGGGUGAGCUAAUCCCACAAAGCUGCUCUUAGUCCGGAUUGCAGUCUGCAACUCGACUGCAUGAAGUUGGAAUCGCUAGUAAUCGUAGAUCAGAACUGCUACGGUGAAUACGUUCCCGGGCCUUGUACACACCGCCCGUCACACCAUGGGAGUUGGUUGCUCCAGAAGUAGGUAGUCUAACCGCAAGGAGGGCGCUUACCACGGAGUGGCAAUGAAUGGGG